UCAGUCAGAAGCUCUAAUUGUUUUCGCAGAAGCUCUUGAUCGCGUGAGGGAAGACGGAUUAAUCAUGGGUACGGAAUAUUUUCGUCUUUUCUCCGAGAGCAAUCGACCAGUCUUUGGUCAGUGUUGCUUGGAGCGAUGCGGAAGACCUGUCCCAGCUGAACCGUAUUUUCUGCUUCAAUGAUGAGCUCUUCAAUAAAUUUUACUGGUAGGGUUUCGGUUCUCAUAUGAUCCGUCUCACAUCUCUCUCAGAUUUGGAAUUGGAGCUUCCUUGGAUGCCUCUUGAGGGGAGUUUCGUUUUGAGACGAGCAGGCCUCUAGACAGAAGAAAGAGAGCACGCAUGAACACUGCCUCUGAUUGCAGCCUCGAUGCGUGCUCUUUUUCUUCUGUCGGGAGUCCCUGUCCGUAAUUGCCCGCGUUCUUUCCUGUCUAUUCGAAGUUCACUUUCAGGCAUUCGCUGAGAAGCAGAUUGAUUGACAUUUUCCAACAAGGCUGAUAGGUGCGGACUGAUCCAGAAAUACCUGUAAGUUUCGCUGUUGUUUCUCUCAGAACUAUUUAUCUCAGGUCACUUCAUGGCCAGGCUUGUGUUAACUUUGCUGCUACACCAGCUGCGAGUUUUCCCGGUAAAUGCAUUCUACGCGAAGAAAUAUUUGAACAUUCGCUGGCAACUAGUAUCGUGCAAACACGGAUUUCAGAGUCAGCAGCUCGUUAGCUGUGCACCAUUGCCUACAGAAAAAUCUUACCUAUCAAUGUUUUCCUCUUGCAUUCAGGUCGAAAAGCUCUCUAAAGUGGUCUUCAACCUUUAAGAUGAACAUCGGUAGCGUAAGUCCCGUUUUAUGAACACGUAGUGGUGCUUCAAAUCUCACUUGUAAUGCAUUUUGCCUUGAAGAAAAAGGAAAUCCGUUCUAGAUAUGCAGACGAGUUUUCGAGUAAACUUUCUCGCAUAAGUACUCGGGCAGAACCUGUGCUCAGUCACAUCAGGAAUUUGGACUUCUCUUUCUAGGAUCCUGCUGAUAUUAUUGUUAUCGAUGAACUCGGUGGUGUGGCGCUGUCGAACUUGUAAACUACACCGCUCCAGGUUUUCUUAGCUGCAUUUUGGUAUUGACAAAGCUAUGAAGUCCUGAGUUUACUAUGUUGAUUUUGACAGAAUUUUGGAAACUGAUUGAGUUCUCAGAUUUCAUUUUUGUUGUCUAUUUGCAAUCUAGAUUACACAGUUUUUGUUUUUCGUCGAGAUGAAGGGGUAAGCUCUAUCUUUAUUUCAUGCGUGAAAUAUGGGUUGGGGCAGCUUAACUUCUCAUUUAAUUAAACAUCGUUUUCAGUCGAA